GUCGAGCGGACAGAAGGGAGCUUGCUCCCGGAAGUUAGCGGCGGACGGGUGAGUAACACGUAGGUAACCUGCCCCUUAGACUGGGAUAACUCCGGGAAACCGGAGCUAAUACGGGAUAAUAAAGAGAAUCGCCUGAUUUUCUUUUGAAAGACGGUUUCGGCUGUCACUAAGGGAUGGACCUGCGGCGCAUUAGCUAGUUGGUAAGGUAACGGCUUACCAAGGCGACGAUGCGUAGCCGACCUGAGAGGGUGAUCGGCCACACUGGGACUGAGACACGGCCCAGACUCCUACGGGAGGCAGCAGUAGGGAAUCUUCCGCAAUGGACGAAAGUCUGACGGAGCAACGCCGCGUGAGUGAGGAAGGCCUUCGGGUCGUAAAGCUCUGUUGUGAGGGAAGAACAAGUGCCGGGGUAACUACCGGCACCUUGACGGUACCUCACCAGAAAGCCACGGCUAACUACGUGCCAGCAGCCGCGGUAAUACGUAGGUGGCAAGCGUUGUCCGGAAUUAUUGGGCGUAAAGCGCGCGCAGGCGGCUUCUUAAGUCUGAUGUGAAAUCUCGGGGCUCAACCCCGAGCGGCCAUUGGAAACUGGGGAGCUUGAGUGCAGAAGAGGAGAGUGGAAUUCCACGUGUAGCGGUGAAAUGCGUAGAUAUGUGGAGGAACACCAGUGGCGAAGGCGACUCUCUGGUCUGUAACUGACGCUGAGGCGCGAAAGCGUGGGG
rnacentral:rRNA from 1 species